rnacentral:lncRNA from 1 species
UUCUUUAUUUUGUUUUUCACAGGAAGGGUAGAAACAUCUUUUAGCCUCACUCCAAGAGACAUUAGCUUUCAGAAGCUUUUGCAAGGACCAUGUUGUUUCCUAUUGGCUAUUUCAGAGUCAGAAAGAAACUCCUUGAAGUCCUGAAGGACAAAACUCUGAUUUGCAACAGCAUUUUCCUCCUUCUUUGUUCAUUUCCUUCAGGUCUGGGCUGUGGCUCCUCGUGACACACCACCUCCCAGACGUACUAUGGAACAGUGCCCUUAGAUCCUGUGGAGCAUUAAGGUGACCUUAAACUAUGAUUAGUUACCAUUCUGGUCAAUGAUAUUUUGCCCCUAUACAAACUAGCUACUG